AGAGUUUGAUCAUGGCUCAGGACGAACGCUGGCGGCGUGCCUAAUACAUGCAAGUCGAGCGGACUUGAUGAAGUGCUUGCACUUCAGAUAGUUAGCGGCGGACGGGUGAGUAACACGUAGGUAACCUGCCUGUAAGACUGGGAUAACAUUCGGAAACGAAUGCUAAUACCGGAUACGCGAAUUGGUCGCAUGACCGAAUC
rnacentral:rRNA from 1 species